UGUUUCGCUUCCUGCUUUCCCCGUCUCCGCCUGCGCGUCUUCCACACAGCGGUUCGAUACGGUAAGCGCCAUGUAAAGCGCCAUGUAAAGCUCAUUGAAACCUGCGGAGGAGAGAGGUCAACUGUGCUAUUUACUCUUCAAUUUUGAGUGCAGUUUUACACGUGUUCUUUUGACUGUUAAGAAUGACGUUUGGUAGAAGAUGAAGAUCUGAUUUCAAAAUUAUUUUCAGG